AAGAAGACUCUGAUUGUCAAAGCAAGAGAGAUUUGAAGGCUGGGUUAGGAGAAACCACCACAGAGACUCUAGUACCUGAAUAAGACAUCUCUGAAGCUCAAAGACUUUGUAUUUGCAAGUUGGAGACUUUCCCUCCGUUCGUUCUUUUACAGAUGACUGAACAUGGCAUCUCAACUAUAGAAAUAUGGUGCCCACCAAGGGAGUCUACACCAGCUCUCCACAUGUGCAGAUAACGGGCCAGGAACCACCUCCUCUUCCAUAACCCUUAAGGAGCCAUUUUUCUGCAAAGGUUCAGAAGUUUUAAGAAGGCAUGACAGAUUGAUCCCUAAUUUAUCAGUUUGUUAUACUGAGAGUCCAAAUCUACUGAACAGCAGGAUUAAAAGCCAGAUACUGAGUGUCUUCUCACCAGUGAAAUCAUGUGGUCUUAUCUGUGGGGAAAUAAAGAGGAUCUCUUUGAAGUGUCCGUGCCCAUCAGUGGAUGGAAGCAGCAUGAAACCAUUUUACCUUCUGGGAUGGCCAGUUUUUUUGGUAUCAGUUUGAUGGGGCCACUGGAGUGCCCACAUUAGGUAUGACUUUGGGUGUGUCUGGAAGAUAUUAGGACUCUGUAAAUUACAGUUGAUGGCCACCCCUCCUGUAGGUGAGUAUCCUCCAAUCCAUGGAGUGCCUGACUAGAGCGAUGGCCUGACUUGCAUGUCUGCCUCCUGAGCUGGGGAACAUCUCAGCUCAGCUCAGUUCAUCUUGUUCUUGGACUGGAAUUCAUACCAUCAGCUCUCCUGGUUGUCAGCCUUUCCAAUUCAGACUGGAAUCACACCACCCACUUUCUUGGGGGUCCAAUUUGCAAACUCGGAUCGUGGGUCUUCCCAGCCUCCUUAAUCCCAUGAACCAAUUUCUCACCAUAAAGCUCUCAAUAUACAUAUUCUUUCCAAGGGUGUGGCUAGCUUACUACGGAGCAUUGGAACUAUCUACACACAUCAAAUACAGAGGUGCUUAAUUCAUCCACCAUGUGUGAUGCACUGUGCUGGUAGAUCGAAUACAGUGAUGAACUCAAUCCAGCCUAAGCCUUACAGGAGCUCACAGUCCCAAGAAAGAAAGAAGUGGGGGAAUCAGGGCAAUCACAGCACCUGGAUAAGGGAGGCUAUGGCAGGAGGAAUAUAUAGGGUGCUAAAAGAGUAAGGAAGAGGAACCCUUAAUGCUUUUUUGGAGGAAGGAAACUCUCAGAAGGCUUCCUGGAAGAGGGGACCCACGACACAAAGUGUUGAUGAAUGAAAAGCAUUUUGCCACAGUAAGGAGGAAGAGAGCUAGGCUAAACACCUCACGUGUGAGGGCCUCUGUGCAUAUAAGCGUGGCACAUUCAGCGACCUGUAAACAGUUGUCAAUGACAAUAGCGCAGUGUCAGUGAACAGGUGGAGAAAGAAAAAAGUUCGACUUAUGAAGGACCUUGUGUUCAUUCACGUGUGUAGAAUUCACCUGAAAGUAAAGGCAACAACUGGAAGGCUCAGAGCCUGCAUGUUGUAACUGGCUACAUGCUUAGAAAUGGCUCCCAGUCAUAGUAUGAAGGUCAGCGUUGGCUGCCUGUGAAGACUUUCCUUGGGAGUGACCAAUGGCAGCUGAGAGCCAUGCUGGGACAGGCUCAGCCUUGCUGGACACAUGAGGCAAGGACAAGGAGCCAGGUGUGCAGGUAUUGAUUGAGGGAUGAGACAAAAGAUGGCCCAUUGGAAGCUGCCAGGAGUAGAAGAACCUACAGAGGAGAAUGAAUUAGUGAAUAAUAAAUGGUGAUGGAAAACAGGGACCAGACAUCUUGAUGAGACAAAAGAAGGAUGGUCAGAACCAAUAAAUGCAAGGAUCAAGGCUGGGAAGGAAUGAUCUAUAACUUUCUUAAAGUUGAGUUUCAGCGGCACUUGGGUGGCUCAGGCAAUCAUGUGUCUGAU